rnacentral:rRNA from 1 species
AUCUCCUUCUUCCCUAAUCCAAGAUUGGAGAAAUAAGAUCUAAGAGGGACCUAUGGAGAAUGUUGUCAGAAAUCCAUAAUUGAGUCCGACCACAACGACCGAAUUAAUUAUCCCCGUGCCCGUGCUCAGUCUGGGCGACAGACCCAGGGUCUGUUGCACCGACAAACGGGUGUAAGACAGUUUUGCACAUGCAGAAUACUUGGGUUAAACUUGAGAAGCCUAGCAUGUACAGACCUGGUCUCGGAACACUAG